rnacentral:rRNA from 1 species
UACGUAGGGUGCAAGCGUUAAUCGGAAUUACUGGGCGUAAAGCGUGCGCAGGCGGUUGUGCAAGUCAGAUGUGAAAUCCCCGGGCUUAACCUGGGAACUGCAUUUGUGACUGCGCGACUAGAAUCUGGCAGAGGGGGGUAGAAUUCCAUGUGUAGCAGUGAAAUGCGUAGAUAUGUGGAGGAAUACCGAUGGCGAAGGCAGCCCCCUGGGCUAAGAUUGACGCUCAUGCACGAAAGCGUGGGGAGCAAACAGG